UAUUAAAAAAAAAAUUAACUAAUAUAAAUUUGAAAAAUAAUCUUUGCAUUUUAUAACUCACGUCACAAGUUCAUAUAUAUUUGCGACCAACGUCAUGUCAGAACUUUGCGUCAUAGCUUUAUACUUUUUUCAUUCAUUAAAAACAAUUUUAAUUUGUUAAUCAACAAAUAAAUUCCAUGUUGCGCAAAAUCAAAUAUCAUUCUAAACUUUAAAGCAUUUUACAGAAUGCGUUCAAGUUAAUUAGCAGUCGUGACAUUUUUAAUAUAGUAACCGCGUUAAAGUUUUAUAACUAACUGCUUAUUUAAAAAAUGCACACUUCAUUUUUACAACAUUUUAUAUCGGAUAUUGAUCAAAGCCGUAAGCAAAAGAAAGGAUUGAAAUCUAAAAUUUAGCUGGGUUAUAGUAAAAAAACUCCAACCUGACCGGUCAAUCCAGUUGCUUUUUCUGGUCUAAGACACACCACCUUUAACAAGUUUAACAGGAGUAAUUUUACCAAAUGUUUAUUUAUUUUAGAUUUACAUCGUCAUGGCAACUAGUCGACCGUUAAUUAGCUAUUACGUGACAUACAUCUACUUCAACUUUGUUAAUGAAUGAGUUUAUUAUCAAAAUUAAAUUUUGGUAUCUUAUAUCGGAAGUUUAAUAACUUUUGUUGCAUUAAAUGAUUCAAUGCGUUUCCAAUUCUUUAACAAUCUUAGUUUUAGGCUUUGGUUUUUGAUUCAUAUAAAAUUAGUUAUCAAAAAUGAACAUGUCUGGAGUCGAAGUUCAAGGUUCUAUAACCAGAAAACGGAAGUUAAGAAACGGAAUUGUAAAAAAAUAUGUUUUUGUACAUUCAACAAUUAUAUAAGUUAUACAAUGGUGUUUCAUGAACUGUAGAGUCUUCAUAAAGUGAUGGCCUAAAAUUUUGAAAAAUUUAAGCUUGAUGAAGUUUUUUUGAUAAUAAUUUUCAAAUGAAUGGAGAUUAACGAGCGUAGAACUAUGCUCUACAACCGAUGGAUUUAUUAAGGAUAGCUAGUGGAAUAUAAAGUAGAUGUUUAAACAAUAUUUAGAAGUUUAAAAUAAUUAGAUUCUAAUUUUUUUU